AAGGCCCUGCUUGCAGGGUACUCGAGUGGCGAACGGGUGAGUAACACGUGGGUGAUCUGCCCUGCACUUCGGGAUAAGCUUGGGAAACUGGGUCUAAUACCGGAUAGGAGCCAUCUUUAGUGUGGUGGUUGGAAAGUUUUUUCGGUGUAGGAUGAGCUCGCGGCCUAUCAGCUUGUUGGUGGGGUAAUGGCCUACCAAGGCGGCGACGGGUAGCCGGCCUGAGAGGGUGUACGGCCACAUUGGGACUGAGAUACGGCCCAGACUCCUACGGGAGGCAGCAGUGGGGAAUAUUGCACAAUGGGCGCAAGCCUGAUGCAGCGACGCCGCGUGGGGGAUGAAGGCCUUCGGGUUGUAAACUCCUUUCGCUAGGGACGAAGCUUUGUUGUGACGGUACCUAGAUAAGAAGCACCGGCUAACUACGUGCCAGCAGCCGCGGUAAUACGUAGGGUGCGAGCGUUGUCCGGAAUUACUGGGCGUAAAGGGCUCGUAGGUGGUUUGUCGCGUCGUCUGUGAAAUUCUGGGGCUUAACUCCGGGCGUGCAGGCGAUACGGGCAUAACUUGAGUGCUGUAGGGGUAACUGGAAUUCCUGGUGUAGCGGUGAAAUGCGCAGAUAUCAGGAGGAACACCGAUGGCGAAGGCAGGUUAC
rnacentral:rRNA from 1 species